rnacentral:lncRNA from 1 species
GCCUUAUCCACCAUCAUGGUAUUCCACACAGCAUUGCCUCUAACCAACUUUACAGCUAAAGAAGUGUAGCAGUGGGCUCAUGCUCAUGGAAUUCACUAGUCUUACCAUGUUCCCAUCAUCCUGAAGCAGCUGCAUUGAUAGAACAGUGGAAUGGUCUUUUGAAGUCACAAUGACAAUGCCAACUAGGUGACAAUAACUUGCAGGGCUGGAUCAAAGUUCUCCAGAAGGCCAUGUAUGCUCUGAAUCAGGGUCCAAUAUAUGGUACUGUUUCUCCCAUAGCCAGGAUUCACGGGUCCAGGAAUCAAGAGGUGGAAUUGGAAGUGGCACCACUCACCAUCACCCCUAGUGAUCCACUAGCAACAUUUUGCUUCCUGUUCCCACGGCAUUACAUCCUGCUGGCCUAGAGGUCUUAGUUUCAGAGAGAAGAACACAGCCACCGGGAGACACAAUGAUUCCAUUAAACUGGAACUGAAGAUUGCCACCUGGACACUUUGGGCUUCUCCUACCUUUAAGUCAACAGGCUAAGAAGGGAGUUACAGUACUGGCUGGGGUGACUAACCUAGAUUAUCAAGAUGAAAUCAGUCUACUACUCCACAAUGGAGGGGAAGAACCUAGAGCACCUUGUGAAACUGACAUUGAGGAAAUGGCAUGGUAAAACAGUAAAAAAAAAUUUCUUGUUACAUGGAGUGAGCUGCUUCAUCAAGCUUCUGUUGAAGGCAAUCCUACUGGAACUUUUAGUCAAAUGGAAUUUUUUAAAAAUCUCAUUUUAAGGUUUCCUGGCACUUGUAACUGAAAGAUCCUAACUGACACAGCAGGAAAGCGGAAGGGUGGCAACUGUUCAGUUAGGGCAUAGUUCUCAAGAUUGUCCUUUAGGAACAUGUAUCUUUGUGGGAUCUCAUCUAUCUCAUACAAGGAUUGCAUUGAUGCAUGUAGUGUUCAGUAGCAUGACUGACCAGAGUGGAAGUUCCUGGAAAUUGUAGCUAUCAUCAUGAUGAUGAUGGUGAUUAUGAUUGUUAAAGACUGGGUUAGGAAAUGAUUUUGUAAAUACAAUGAGAAGAAGAGCUUUAAAAUUUGCCUAAAUUUCCCCACUUAAUAUUAAAAAGGAGGUGUGCUAUUAAAUUUUAGGUUUUUCUCAAACUCUCACAGCUAUUUUUGUGGGUUUUUAGUGUAUUUCGAGCCCCCUUUUCCUUCAUCUCUAUUACUUUAUGAUAAUGUGAAGGCUCAUUGUUAUGUGAACGCACUGUUAUGAAACAAUACUCUCAGACAUAAGCAGCUUUCCUUAAACCAAAUCAAAAAUACUAUUUCUAUUGCCCAU